AUGGGUUUGCAUUCGUGUGGACACGUCGUGAACAACUGCGUGUCGGUGGCACACAUCCAAUACCCCCCCCCCCUCCUCAUCGAUUUCGACCUUCCUGUCCUCUUCGCCGUCACCGUCGUCACCCUGCUUUCGUCUUUCUUUUUCGCCACCUCGAUGCCCCCACCCAACCACCACAGGCGAAGUUGUUUUCACUCUUGUCACCGAUGGUGUAGCUCACGGCCCACACCCCUACACCUCCUUCAACCAAAGUCGUCACCUGCCUCGGCACAUCAGCACCACCGCCGGAGGACGUUGAGUUUGACAACCCUGCUCUUGGAAUUAUCCAGAAUGGGGAUCUUCACCGGUCAAGACUCGUCCACACCCGUGAUCGUCGUCGUCGCUCACAAGGUGUUCAGUCAUUUGCCCGUCUUGCUGGUAGGGUACGGAUUCAUCACUCUGAAGGGAUAG
rnacentral:rRNA from 1 species